GAUGAACGCUGGCGGCGUGCCUAAUACAUGCAAGUCGAGCGAACAGACGAGGAGCUUGCUCCUCUGACGUUAGCGGCGGACGGGUGAGUAACACGUGGAUAACCUACCUAUAAGACUGGGAUAACUUCGGGAAACCGGAGCUAAUACCGGAUAACAUGUUGAACCGCAUGGUUCAACAGUGAAAGACGGUCUUGCUGUCACUUAUAGAUGGAUCCGCGCCGCAUUAGCUAGUUGGUAAGGUAACGGCUUACCAAGGCAACGAUGCGUAGCCGACCUGAGAGGAGGAUCAGCCAAACUGGGACUGAGACACGGCCCAGACUCAGACGGGAGGCAGCAGUGGGGAAGAUGGGAAAAUGGGCGCAAGCCUGAUCCAGACAUGCAGCGGGUGUGAAGAAGGCAUUCGGGUUGGAAAGCACUUUUGUAAGGAAAGAAAAAACUGGAGCUAAUACCUGCGGGGGAUGACGGUACCUGAAGAAUAAGCAACGGCUAACUUCGUG
rnacentral:rRNA from 1 species